rnacentral:rRNA from 1 species
CGGCGAGCGAAGCGGGAAGAGCUCAAAUUUAUAAUCUGGCACCUUCGGUGUCCGAGUUGUAAUCUCUAGAAAUGUUUUCCGCGUUGGACCGCACACAAGUCUGUUGGAAUACAGCGGCAUAGUGGUGAGACCCCCGUAUAUGGUGCGGACGCCCAGCGCUUUGUGAUACAUUUUCGAAGAGUCGAGUUGUUUGGGAAUGCAGCUCAAAUUGGGUGGUAAAUUCCAUCUAAAGCUAAAUAUUGGCGAGAGACCGAUAGCGAACAAGUACCGUGAGGGAAAGAUGAAAAGCACUUUGGAAAGAGAGUUAACAGUACGUGAAAUUGUUGGAAGGGAAACGCUUGAAGUCAGACUUGCUUGCCGAGCAAUCGGUUUGCAGGCCAGCAUCAGUUUUCCGGGAUGGAUAAUGGUAGAGAGAAGGUAGCAGUUUCGGCUGUGUUAUAGCUCUCUGCUGGAUACAUCUUGGGGGACUGAGGAACGCAGUGUGCCUUUGGCGGGGGUUUCG